UGGGUAUAACUUAACCAUUGAUUAGCAU
rnacentral:piRNA from 1 species